AGAGUUGAUCCGUGGCUCAGGACGAACGCUGGCGGCGUGCUUAACACAUGCAAGUCGAGCGAUGAAGCUUCUUCGGAAGUGGAUUAGCGGCGGACGGGUGAGUAACACGUGGGUAACCUGCCUCAUAGAGGGGAAUAGCCUCCCGAAAGGAAGAUUAAUACCGCAUAAGAUUGUAAUAUCGCAUGAUAUAGCAAUUAAAGGAGCAAUCCGCUAUGAGAUGGACCCGCGUCGCAUUAGCUAGUUGGUGAGGUAACGGCUCACCAAGGCGACGAUGCGUAGCCGACCUGAGAGGGUGAUCGGCCACAUUGGGACUGAGACACGGCCCAGACUCCUACGGGAGGCAGCAGUGGGGAAUAUUGCACAAUGGGGGAAACCCUGAUGCAAGCAACGCCGCGUAAGUGAUGACGGUCUUCGGAUUGUAAAGCUCUGUCUUCAGGGACGAUAAUGACGGUACCUGAGGAGGAAGCCACGGCUAACUACGUGCCAGCAGCCGC
rnacentral:rRNA from 1 species